UUAAAAAGCAAUGUUAUGCCCGGAACCAGUAUUGGAUUGGAAGUAUAUAUAUAUAUAUAUAUAUAUAUAUAUAUCAAAUCAUCUUUAUCACCUCUGUUCCUACCAGAUUUGCAGCCUACACAUCAGACCACAGUGGGACAGGAGUCUGUCUACCACAGCUGUCACCGGAUGAAAGGCAAAGUACACCUUGGACAGACGUGGAAAGAAGUUGGCGUACUUGGAGAAGACUCCCACAGACCAACUCCACACCAAAAGGAACCAGCAGGGAUUCAAGCUUGGAACAUUUCUGCUCUGAGACAGCAGUGCUAAUCACCACACAACCACACAGCCCAACUCUAUUUUUUUUAAGUCAUCAAUAGCCAAAUACAUAAAAUAAGACAAAAAUGAAAAUCUAUCAUUCAUUAUAGAGACUAAAUUUAUUGAUACAAUAUGCAGGCUUAACACAGAAGAUGUCCAGAGAGAAAAGGCACAAUAUAUUAUACAUUCACUACCAUGUCCCAUGAUUUUCCAAAGCUGAUCUGAACUUUUACAAAGUCUUUCAGUAAUGGGGGG